rnacentral:rRNA from 1 species
CAGUCGCCACGGUAAUACGGAGGGUGCAAGCGUUAAUCGGAAUUACUGGGCGUAAAGCGCACGCAGGCGGUCUGACAAGUCAGAUGUGAAAUCCCCGGGCUUAACCUGGGAACUGCAUUUGAAACUGUCAGGCUGGAGUCUUGUAGAGGGGGGUGGAAUUCCAGGUGUAGCGGUGAAAUGCGUAGAGAUCUGGAGGAAUACCGGUGGCGAAGGCGGCCCCCUGGACAAAGACUGACGCUCAGGUGCGAAAGCGUGGGGAGCAAACAGGAUUAGAUACCCGCGUAGUCCCUGUCUCUUAUAC